CGUAGGGUGCGAGCGUUAAUCGGAAUUACUGGGCGUAAAGCGUGCGCAGGCGGUUUAGUAAGACAGGCGUGAAAUCCCCGGGCUCAACCUGGGAACUGCGCUUGUGACUGCUAAGCUAGAGUACGGCAGAGGGGGUGGAAUUCCACGUGUAGCAGUGAAAUGCGUAGAGAUGUGGAGGAACACCAAUGGCGAAGGCAGCCCCCUGGGUCGAUACUGACGCUCACGCACGAAAGCGUGGGUAGCAAACAGGAUUAGAUACCCUGGUAGUCCACGCCCUAAACGAUGUCAACUAGGUGUUGGGAGGGUAAAACCUUUUAGUACCGGAGCUAACGCGUGAAGUUGACCGCCUGGGGAGUACGGCCGCAAGGUUA
rnacentral:rRNA from 1 species